UACGGAGGGUGCAAGCGUUAAUCGGAAUUACUGGGCGUAAAGCGUGCGUAGGUGGUUGACUAAGUUAUCUGUGAAAUCCCCGGGCUUAACCUGGGCAGGUCAGAUGAUACUGGUUGACUCGAGUAUGGGAGAGGGUAGUGGAAUUUCCGGUGUAGCGGUGAAAUGCGUAGAGAUCGGAAGGAACACCAGUGGCGAAGGCGGCUACCUGGCCUAAUACUGACACUGAGGCACGAAAGCGUGGGGAGCAAACAGGG
rnacentral:rRNA from 1 species